rnacentral:rRNA from 1 species
UACCGAUCAAAGCAGCAAUGCACCGGAGGAUAGUCCCGCGCCUGAUUAACUUGUUGGGAGGUAAAAGCCUACCAGGCGACGAUCAGUAGCCGCCCUGAGAGGGUGAUCGGCCCCCCUGGGACUGAAAUACGGCCCAGACUCCUACGGGAGGCAGCAGUAGGGAAUUUUGCCGCAAUGGCCUUAACGGUUGACGCAGCAACCCCCGCGUGGAUGAUGAACCUUUUCGGAAGUGUAAAAUCCCUUUCAGCAGGGAAGGAAUAUCUUGACGGUACCUGCAGAAGAAGUCCCGCCCAACUCCGUGCCAGCAGCCGCGGUAACACGGGGGGGACAAGCGUUGUUCGGAUUCACUGGGCGUAAAGCGCUCGUAGGUGGGCUGGAUAGUCGGAUGUGAAAACCUGAGGCUUAACUUCAGGCCUGCAUCCGAAACUGCCAGUCUUGAGUACUGGAGAGGGUGGCGGAAUUCCUGGUGUAGCGGUGAAAUGCGUAGAUAUCAGGAGGAACACCGAUGGCGAAGGCAGCCACCUGGACAGAUACUGACACUGAGGGGCGAAGGCUAGGGUAGCAAACAGGAUUAGAUACCCUGGUAGUCCUAGCGGUAAACGAUGGGCACUAGGUGUUGGCGGUAUCGACCCCGCCAGUGCCGCAGCAAACGCAUUAAGUGCCCCGCCUGGGGAGUACGGUCGCAAGAUUGAAACUCAAAGGAAUUGACGGGGGCCCGCACAAGCGGUGGAGUAUGUGGUUCAAUUCGACGCAACGCGCAGAACCUUACCUGGGCUUGACAUAUACCGGAAAGCCACAGAGAUGUGGUUCCUCCUUCGGGAGUCGGUAUACAGGUGCUGCAUGGCUGUCGUCAGCUCGUGUCGUGAGAUGUUGGGUUAAGUCCCGCAACGAGCGCAACCCUCGUUCUUAGUUGCCAUCAGGUUAUGCUGGGGACUCUAAGAAGACUGCCGGUGACAAGCCGGAGGAAGGUGGGGAUGACGUCAAGUCCUCAUGGCCCUUACGCCCAGGGCUACACACGUACUACAAUGGCCGGUAUAGACGGCAGCAAUACCGCAAGGUGGAGCUAAUCCCUAAAACCGGCCUCAGUUCAGAUUGGAGUCUGCAACUCGACUCCAUGAAGGUGGAAUCGCUAGUAAUCGCAGAUCAGCAUGCUGCGGUGAAUACGUUCCCGG